rnacentral:rRNA from 1 species
GAGAAGGCUAUGUUGGCCGGGCGACGGUUGUCCCGGUUUAAGCGUGUAGGUGUGUGUUCCAGGUAAAUCCGGUUCACUUUAACACUGAGGCGUGACGACGAGGCACCACGGUGCUGAAGCAACAAAUGCCCUGCUUCCAGGAAAAGCCUCUAAGCAUCAGGUAACAUCAAAUCGUACCCCAAACCGACACAGGUGGUCAGGUAGAGAAUACCAAGGCGCUUGAGAGAACCCGGGUGAAGGAACUAGGCAAAAUGGUGCCGUAACUUCGGGAGAAGGCACGCUGACAUGUAGGUGAAGCGGUUUACCCGUGGAGCUGAAGUCAGUCGAAGAUACCAGCUGGCUGCAACUGUUUAUUAAAAACACAGCACUGUGCAAACACGAAAGUGGACGUAUACGGUGUGACGCCUGCCCGGUGCCGGAAGGUUAAUUGAUGGGGUCAGCGCAAGCGAAGCUCCUGAUCGAAGCCCCGGUAAACGGCGGCCGUAACUAUAACGGUCCUAAGGUAGCGAAAUUCCUUGUCGGGUAAGUUCCGACCUGCACGAAUGGCGUAAUGAUGGCCAGGCUGUCUCCACCCGGGACUCAGUGAAAUUGAACUCGCUGUGAAGAUGCAGUGUACCCGCGGCAAGACGGAAAGACCCCGUGAACCUUUACUAUAGCUUGACACUGAACACUGGUCCUUGAUGUGCAGGAUAGGUGGGAGGCUUUGAAGCGUGGACGCCAGUCUGCGUGGAGCCGUCCUUGAAAUACCACCCUUUAAUGGCUGGUGUUCUAACGUGGGCCCCUUAUCGGGGUUGCGGACAGUGUCUGGUGGGUAGUUUGACUGGGGCGGUCUCCUCCCAAAGAGUAACGGAGGAGCACGAAGGUUGGCUAAUCCUGGUCGGACAUCAGGAGGUUAGUGCAAUGGCAUAAGCCAGCUUGACUGCGAGCGUGACGGCGCGAGCAGGUGCGAAAGCAGGUCAUAGUGAUCCGGUGGUUCUGAAUGGAAGGGCCAUCGCUCAACGGAUAAAAGGUACUCCGGGGAUAACAGGCUGAUACCGCCCAAGAGUUCAUAUCGACGGCGGUGUUUGGCACCUCGAUGUCGGCUCAUCACAUCCUGGGGCUGAAGUAGGUCCCAAGGGUAUGGCUGUUCGCCAUUUAAAGUGGUACGCGAGCUGGGUUUAGAACGUCGUGAGACAGUUCGGUCC